CGGUAAGGCCCCUUCGGGGGUACACGAGCGGCGAACGGGUGAGUAACACGUGAGUAACCUGCCCCUGACUCUGGGAUAAGCCUGGGAAACUGGGUCUAAUACCGGAUAUGACCUCGUGCCGCAUGGUGUGGGGUGGAAAGGUGUUUUUCCGGUCAGGGAUGGGCUCGCGGCCUAUCAGCUUGUUGGUGGGGUAACGGCCUACCAAGGCGACGACGGGUAGCCGGCCUGAGAGGGCGACCGGCCACACUGGGACUGAGACACGGCCCAGACUCCUACGGGAGGCAGCAGUGGGGAAUAUUGCACAAUGGGCGAAAGCCUGAUGCAGCGACGCCGCGUGAGGGAUGAAGGCCUUCGGGUUGUAAACCUCUUUCAGCUCUGACGAAGCUGCCUGGUUUUCUGGGUGGUGACGGUAGGGGUUGAAGAAGCGCCGGCCAACUACGUGCCAGCAGCCGCGGUAAGACGUAGGGCGCGAGCGUUGUCCGGAUUUAUUGGGCGUAAAG
rnacentral:rRNA from 1 species